rnacentral:rRNA from 1 species
AUAUCAAUAAGCGGAGGAAAAGAAACCUAACAAGGAUUGCCCUAGUAACGGCGAGUGAAGCGGCAACAGCUCAAAUUUGAAAUCUGGCCCUUUCAGGGUCCGAGUUGUAAUUUGUAGAGGGCGCUUUGGCGUUGGCAGCGGUCUAAGUUCCUUGGAACAGGACGUCACAGAGGGUGAGAAUCCCGUAUGUGGUCGCUUGUCUUCGCCGUGUAAAGCCCCUUCGACGAGUCGAGUUGUUUGGGAAUGCAGCUCUAAAUGGGAGGUAAAUUUCUUCUAAAGCUAAAUAUUGGCCAGAGACCGAUAGCGCACAAGUAGAGUGAUCGAAAGAUGAAAAGCACUUUGGAAAGAGAGUCAAAAAGCAC